UAGCACGGGUGGUAGGGUGGUAUCAAAACAUCGCAGUAGGCUUCAUCCAGAUACUUUGGAGGCCUUAAUGUGUGCUCAAAGUUGGUUAUGGAAGGAAAAAGAAGGUGAUUCAUCAAUUCAUGACUCACAGCCCCAACUCACAAUGAUGGAUGAAAAUGAUGAUUUACUUGUGCUUUAGAUUUUUUACUUAAGAUGAUGUUAGAGACAUUUUUUCUUUCUUUUUUGCUAACAAUUUCUUUGUAAUGUCUUUUUUUUUUUUUUUUUUUUUCAGUGUUGUUAAGCUUAUGGAUAUAUUUUAAUUUUGGAUAUUAUAUUUUGGCAUGUCUUCUAUGA